rnacentral:rRNA from 1 species
UACGUAGGUGCCGAGCGUUGUCCGGAUUUAUUGGGCGUAAAGCGAGCGCAGGUGGUUUAUUAAGUCUGGUGUAAAAGGCAGUGGCUCAACCAUUGUAUGCAUUGGAAACUGGUAGACUUGAGUGCAGGAGAGGAGAGUGGAAUUCCAUGUGUAGCGGUGAAAUGCGUAGAUAUAUGGAGGAACACCGGUGGCGAAAGCGGCUCUCUGGCCUGUAACUGACACUGAGGCUCGAAAGCGUGGGGAGCAAACAGG